rnacentral:rRNA from 1 species
UCGCUCCUACCGAUUGGGUGUGCUGGUGAAAUGUUCGGAUCGGCCGUUUGUCGCGGUUUCCGCGGCUCGUGGCUGAGAAGUUCAUUAAACCCUCCCACCUAGAGGAAGGAG